CGAAUGCUGACAUAAGUAACGAUAAAGCGGGUGAAAAGCCCGCUCGCCGGAAGACCAAGGGUUCCUGUCCAACGUUAAUCGGGGCAGGGUGAGUCGACCCCUAAGGCGAGGCCGAAAGGCGUAGUCGAUGGGAAACAGGUUAAUAUUCCUGUACUUGGUGUUACUGCGAAGGGGGGACGGAGAAGGCUAUGUUGGCCGGGCGACGGUUGUCCCGGUUUAAGCGUGUAGGCUGGUUUUCCAGGCAAAUCCGGAAAAUCAAGGCUGAGGCGUGAUGACGAGGCACUACGGUGCUGAAGCAACAAAUGCCCUGCUUCCAGGAAAAGCCUCUAAGCAUCAGGUAACAUCAAAUCGUACCCCAAACCGACACAGGUGGUCAGGUAGAGAAUACCAAGGCGCUUGAGAGAACUCGGGUGAAGGAACUAGGCAAAAUGGUGCCGUAACUUCGGGAGAAGGCACGCUGAUAUGUAGGUGAAGUCCCUCGCGGAUGGAGCUGAAAUCAGUCGAAGAUACCAGCUGGCUGCAACUGUUUAUUAAAAACACAGCACUGUGCAAACACGAAAGUGGACGUAUACGGUGUGACGCCUGCCCGGUGCCGGAAGGUUAAUUGAUGGGGUCAGCGCA
rnacentral:rRNA from 1 species